rnacentral:lncRNA from 1 species
ACUGGUUCUCUUUGUCACAGGUGAAAUUCAGACAUGGAAAUUGAGUACUUGCCAUCAUAUAUAUGAAAUCUCGCGUCUUGUGACGGCCGGCCGCCCAACAACCUGCCCACUUGACCCUAUCCCCUCCUCUCUUCUCCAGACCAUUUCCGGAGACCUUCUCCCCUACCUCACCUCGCUCAUCAACUCAUCCUUGACCGCUGGCUACGUCCCUUCCGUCUUCAAGAGAGCGAGAGUUGCACCCCUUCUGAAAAAAACCUACACUCGAUCCCUCCGAUGUCAACAACUACAGACCAGUAUCCC